rnacentral:rRNA from 1 species
AGGACGAACGCUGGCGGCGUGCUUAACACAUGCAAGUCGAGCGAACCUUCGGGUUAGCGGCGAACGGGUGAGUAACACGUGGGCAACCUGCCCCGAGCUCUGGGAUAACUCCGGGAAACCGGGGCUAAUACCGGAUAUGACCCGAGAAGACAUCUUCUCGGGUGGAAAGUUUUUCGGCUCGGGAUGGGCCCGCGGCCUAUCAGCUUGUUGGUGGGUAACGGCCUACCAAGGCGACGACGGGUAGCC